AAAAUUUUAUGAUAUAAUAGCGUCAACGCACGUUUAUUUCGAUUUUAGUAUUUACAUUUUAAUGUUAUUACAAAUUUCAUCUGCUAUGAUUGCAUUAGUAUUUUGUCAUUUGAAUGUAGAAUGUCUCUUUUUAUAACAUAAACUGCUCAUUUCAUUUUGUUCUGAUGAUAACUAUAUUUCAGACAUCUACAAAAACAGAGAUUAAAACAUAUGAACAGUAAUGAGAGAUGGUUUCAGGCAGCAAAGAAUUGAGGAAGAAAUGCAUGAAAAAUGGAAACAACAGAAAAUGGACAUUUCAAAAUUAAACACUAUGAUUAAUCCGGCGUAGGAACAGAUGAUAAAAUUAAGAAAUAGAUAUGAAAAAGCCAUAACACAUAGGAAUGAGAGAGGUAUUGAGAGAAAGAAAAUUGAUUGAAAGAAAUGAGGUGUGCAUUUUCUAGGAAAAAGUUGACAUUCAAGAUGAAAUGAUCUGGAAUGGUAACGUAGAGUUUUAAGCUGGGGAAGAAGAGAUCCGGUUUAUAUAAAAGAGAAAUGCUCUCUGUGCUCAACACCUAACAGAGUUAAUCUUGAAGGGGAACUAGUCACUUUACAAAUACAGCAACAAGAUUUACACAUCUAUACAAACGUGAGUCUAGCAUGUUGCUGGUGUCAUGAUGCCAACAAUACAGGUUUAGACAAGUGUGUUUGUGGGACGGCAUAUGGCCUUGUAUUCAAGGACAAUAGCACAUUGAAAUACCAAGCAGAUAGAUGGUGAUUUUAUGAAAUG